CACGAACGCUGGCGGCAGGCUUAACACAUGCAAGUCGAGCGCCCCGCAAGGGGAGCGGCAGACGGGUGAGUAACGCGUGGGAAUCUACCCAUCCCUACGGAAUAACGCAUGGAAACGUGUGCUAAUACCGUAUACGUCCUUCGGGAGAAAGAUUUAUCGGAGAUGGAUGAGCCCGCGUUGGAUUAGCUAGUUGGUGGGGUAAAGGCCUACCAAGGCGACGAUCCAUAGCUGGUCUGAGAGGAUGAUCAGCCACACUGGGACUGAGACACGGCCCAGACUCCUACGGGAGGCAGCAGUGGGGAAUAUUGGACAAUGGGCGCAAGCCUGAUCCAGCCAUGCCGCGUGAGUGAUGAAGGCCCUAGGGUUGUAAAGCUCUUUCACCGGUGAAGAUAAUGACGGUAACGGGAGAAGAAGCCCCGGCUAACUUCGUGCCAGCCGCCGCCGUAAGAC
rnacentral:rRNA from 1 species